GACGUAGGAUGCGAGCGUUAUCCGGAUUCACUGGGCGUAAAGCGCAUGUAGGCGGUUCGUCAAGUCGUGUGUUAAAGCCCCUGGCUCAACUGGGGGAGGUCAUGCGAGACUGUCAGGCUUGAGGGCAGUAGAGGCACGUGGAACUCCCGGUGUAGCGGUGGAAUGCGUAGAGAUCGGGAAGAACACCCGUGGCGAAGGCGACGUGCUGGGCUGAACCUGACGCUGAGAUGCGAAAGUGUGGGGAGCAAACGGG
rnacentral:rRNA from 1 species